AUGCAGAAGAUCCCGAACAGAGAUAUAAUCAACAGAGAUCCAGCAGAGAUCAACACUAUCAGAGACACUGAGACUGGAGGAACUGAAGGAGAGGAAAAGAGAGACAGUCAUUAAUGUUAAAGCUUCUGACAGUUUACAGAAUUGAAGAACAGCAGCACAGACACAAGACAAAAAGAAAGAUGCAGAAGAUCCCAAACAGAGUUAUAAUUAUCACAGAUCCAGCAGAGAUCAACACUAUCAGAGAGAUGCUAUCUCUAUCAUAUAUAGAGUCUGGAGGAGAUGAAGGAGAGGAAAAGAGAGACAGUCAUUAAUGUGAGUGAAUCUGUUGGUCUGAUCUACAACAGAAGACAGAGAUCAGAUGCAGAAGAUGCUCAAUGCAACUACAAUCAACAGAGAUCCGGCAGCAGCAGCAGAGAUCAACACUAUCAGAGAGAUGCUAUCUCUAUCAUAUAUAGAGUCUGGAGGAGAUGAAAGAGAGUAAAAGAGAGACAGUCAUUAAUGUAAGUGAAUGUAUCACUCUGAUCUACAACAGAAGACUAUUGAGCUAAGAUCAAUAAAUAAAAAUAAAAUAAUACC